GGGUUCUUAGUAUAUUUUAGUACAAUUGAUUGCAGAUCAAAUGGAUAAUGAACCUU
rnacentral:tRNA from 1 species